CACCACAACAGGUGGAGCCUGCGGUUUAAUCGGACUCAGCGCCGGGAAACUCACCAGAUAAGACAGCUGAAUGAUAGUCGGGCUGAAGACUCUACUUGACUAGCUGAGAGGAGGUGCAUGGCCGUCGUCAGUUCGUACUGUGAAGCAUCCUGUUAAGUCAGGCAACGAGCGAGACCCACGCCAACAGUUGCCAGCUCGUCCUCCGGGAUGGUGGGGACACUGUUGGGACCGCCUCUGCUAAAGAGGAGGAAGGAAUGGGCAACGGUAGGUCAGCAUGCCCCGAAUUAUCUGGGCUACACGCGGGCUACAAUGGGUGGGACAAUGGGUAUCGACACCGAAAGGUGAAGGCAAUCUCCUAAACCCAUCCGUAGUUCGGAUUGUGGGCUGCAACUCGCCCACAUGAAGCUGGAAUCUGUAGUAAUCGUGUCUCAAAAUGGCACGGUGAAUAUGUCCCUGCUCCUU
rnacentral:rRNA from 1 species